rnacentral:rRNA from 1 species
UACAACUUUCAGCAACGGAUCUCUUGGCUCUCGCAUCGAUGAAGAACGCAGCGAAAUGCGAUAAGUAAUGUGAAUUGCGGAAUUCAGUGAAUCAUCGAAUCUUUGAACGCACCUUGCGCUCCUUGGUAUUCCGAGGAGCAUGCCUGUUUGAGUGUCAUG